CAUAUGACACGCUCUCAGUUACUGGCAUAAUAAGACUUAUCUGACUGACACCACUGAAUUAAUUGCUCUCUGUUGCUGAGCGAGGUGAAGACCUGAAGUACAACAGAACACUUUGAAAGCAUCAAAUGCCAGGUGAAUGUCAUCAAGUUCAGAAUGAUCCCUGUGCUCCAGCAUGGAUUUGAAUACAAAAUCCUUUUAGACUUGUGGCUCAGCAAUUUCCACAACAGCUCUUUGAAACCAUGUAUACCAAGACCAUAUGAAACAAAGAGGAAUACAUUAUGGUGGAAAAGAUGAGGGAAAAUAAAUAGGAGAAUGGGAAAUCAGAAUGAAUUGAUGAGAAAGAGAAGACACAAUGGUCCCAAAUUAUUUCACACUGGUCUGGGAAAGGCACUCAGAAUGUCACAGCUAAAUACAAGGUGGAACAGAAGUGGCCAUCUUGAAUGUGGGCCCUUGAUCUCAGCUGACAAGUGAUCUCAGUGCCAGCUGGAUCUACAUGACUCUUCAAAGGGAUAAAAUACAGAGCCGCCUUCCCUACAGUGGAUCAGAAGAAGCAAGCACAGAACUGUGGGUAGAGAACAGUAGACUCCAGUAUAUCCCAAAGUGUUUAGUAGAGUGAACCCCACUGAUUUGCAUGUCUAGCUAAUCUGUAUUGUUCUGGGGAAGGUUGCAGGAGACAAUGCCAAGGAACUGUGGGAAACUAGAUCCCGUCCCAAUCUCAUAAGCAUGAAUAAUCAGAGUAGCUGCUAAUGAUUGUGUUUGACAGGAGGGAGAAACUAGGCAAGGGCAGGAGAACUAGUGACUCCAGGCCUUAACAGUAAAAUUAAUUUAAUAUUGCAGAUAACUGAAUCUGUGAUAAAGGAAACAAGGCCUUCACUCACAUAACAGAGAAGGAACAAGAUAGCAUGAUACAGGGUAAAGAUAGGGAGGGGGAAAGGAUUUACUGCUGGGGGAAUUCAUAUAGUCCUGCAUUUUUCUGUGCCCUUGCACAGAAAAAUGCAAAUAAAAUCUACCGGGGGACACGGCCUCUUCCCCAGCAGCGUGUCUGUUCCAGCAUGCAUGGAGCAACCUCAGAGAUGGGAUCAGGGGGCAGGCCAUGCAUGCCUGCAUGAUCACCGGUGGGGGGUGGGGCUAGUGGUAAGUGGGUGAACAAUCGAGAAAGAGAUUCUGUCCCUCUCCCUUGCUACCAUAGCUCUCUGGUGUGGAAGGGUAAGGCUUUUUAUUAUGCAUGAGGCAGUCUAGAGGCACAAAUGUAGUAGCCCUGCCUGAGUUAAUUGAUUCAUUCUCUGAGGCAUUAGCAGCCUGACUAUGUAGUUAGUAACAUCGUUAAAGUUGCUGUUGAUGGUUAAUUGAUCUUAUUCUCUGAAGCAGAAAUGUAGCAGUCUGACUGUUAAAGUUAAUGUUGCUAUUGUUAGUUAACUGUUCCCAUUCUCAGUCAAUUUCCCCAGGAGCAUAAAACCUGUAAAAGUUUUAAGGCCCCUACAUUGCCAGAGUGAUGUAAAGGAGCCUUAUUAUAAAUGACAGUAAGGGAAU